AUGAGAAAAAGCAUUCACUGUUUCAUUGCUGCGCUCUACACCUUGAAGUAAUACUGUAUUGAGGAAAAAGUAUACAUAAUACCACUAGGAUGAGUAACCAUAAAAUGUAUUGUAGCAUAAAUGUAGGCAUUAUAUGUUUAAUUGCAUGAUUUGUGUAUAGUAAUUAUGUUAAUCAGUAUGUUUUACAGUGUUUGCCAAUUCAACUUUCU